rnacentral:lncRNA from 1 species
AAAUCACAUUGGUCAAGUAUUGAAAACAAGUGUUUAGUUCAAUCAGAUAUUUGGAAACACUCACCAAAGGUCUAGUGCCUCUCAAAAGUCAUAUUCAGGUCCAACUCCUUGGUUGGAGUCCAAAUCUGCGAUAAAAUAUCAUUUACGAAUGUAAAACUCUCUAGAGUUCGAAACAUAGGAGUUUCGUUUCAAGAAAAUCAAGUAAAUGCAACUCAUUAAAGUAGUAUUCAAGAUACUUAUCAAAUUCUGAAAAAUUCAUGCUCGCUCGUUUAGUUAUGAUCAAGAAGUGGUUUUGACUUUAGAAGUUACACUUGGUAUUAAAGACCGGAAAAAUCGUAUUUUGAAAAGGUCGCUACUUUCACUUUUCAAGGGUACGAGUUUCAGCAAAAUUUUAUCUUAUAUACCCUGACUAAAGAAAACUUGAAUACCAUAGGCGAUCCAAGUCCAACUUGACCUCAAAUCGUCGCUCAAGUCGCAGGUACAUAUGCCUAACUCUCGAGUGAAAAUUUGGGCAGCACGCCCUUUGUGUUUACCUAUUUUCCAGCCAUUUAUGACUUCAUUGUUUUUCUCAAUCAGCCCCAAAAUCACACAAAAAUAAUGUUACCACCAUAGCCCUUCAAUUAGGCUCCAAAAUAAUCCAAUUACAACACAAGUCUUAACAAGGCAACCGGAAAUCAAGUUUAAAGGCAAAUAGCUAAAUGACAGAUUUGACGUCUCUUAGCGUAUCGGUCACAACUGAAGCUAUGCUUAUCAGAUUGGGGUAAAAUUUAUACCAUUUCGAAGCUAAGACAAAGGGUUACAACUUUGAUGAAGACAACUCAACCCAGUUAAUAGUUUAUCCAGGUCGAAUCUACAAAUUACAGAACCAGAAGUUCAUGACCAGGAGGGUUGUCAGUACUGAAUUCAAACGACAAUAACUUAGGCUACACAAUUCCGUUUGAGGCAUUUUUGGUUGUGUUGGAAAGCUGAAACAUAGGGCUAAACCUUUCAUGUUUUGGCCAAAGGCUGAUUUGAAAUAGAUCAAGGUGAAAAAAAUGCAGCCAGAAUGAUGAAAUGUCACAACUGUCCGCAAAACUAUACCUAUGGCAGUCAAGGGUAUUUCUAUCAUUUCAUGUGAUACAGCGCUCAGAUUAAGCUGAAAUUUUACAGGCAGAUAUAAAAUAUCAUUUUCCACAACUUUCAUGUUUUGAGUUAAGCCCAAUUCAGCUUCCAUCAUGGCCGAAUGAAACUGGUCAGAACAGGGUAGUACUAAAACUUAAAGCUGGAAUUAAUGCAUUCAAGUGAUAAUCUUCUUAUUCAUGUAUAAAACCACUACUACCACUCCCUAUCUAAACUUAUUCACAUCACAUUCUAGAUAAAUAACACUAAUAAAAAUAGAAAAUUACAAACCCUAGCUGAAAAUUAUAAGUUAAAAAGCCAAACCAUGAAAUCUUCCAUACAAUCCACCACAAUCAAGCCAUGCUUUGCUUAAAUUGCAAAAUAAGAAAGAAACAAGGGAGGUUUCUAGUAUAAUACCUCAAAAUCUCUAAAAUAACUUGUGAUACAAGAACUUUCUUCCUCCCAAAAGUUCCACCAAACUCACCUCCAAGCUUUCCCAACGAUUAAUCGGAGUAGAAUCAAGUUUUACGGUAAUUUUCUCAAGAAUCAAGCAAGCUCUCAAGUUGGAAAAAUGGAAAAUUUUCUCUCUUCUCUUUUUCCUCUCCUAAGUCACGAUCAAGCAU